CAGACUGAUUCAAAACAGCACCAGAUGAAGCGGGUGGAGCAGAAAAGGGUGUGGCAAAAGCUCUUCCCGUAGCAUCUGGGA
rnacentral:snoRNA from 1 species